rnacentral:rRNA from 1 species
GCCAGCAGCCAUCUCACAGCUGGCAGCCCACUGAAGCCCAGCAGGUGUGAGCCUGGUCAGUACUGGGAUGAGAGACCUCCUGGGAAAGCGAAGGUUGCUGCUGGAA